AUUGAACGCUGGCGGUAGGCCUAACACAUGCAAGUCGAACGCGAAAGUCCUUCGGGAUGAGUAGAGUGGCGGACGGGUGAGUAACGCGUAGGAAUCUAUCCUGUAGUGGGGGAUAACGUUUCGAAAGGAACGCUAAUACCGCAUACGCCCCAAGGGGGAAAGCGGGGGAUCUUCGGACCUCGUGCUAUAGGAGGAGCCUGCGUCGGAUUAGGGAGUUGGUGAGGUAAAGGCUCACCAAGGCGACGAUCCGUAGCUGGUCUGAGAGGAUGAUCAGCCACACCGGAACUGGGACACGGUCCGGACUCCUACGGGAGGCAGCAGUGGGGAAUAUUGCGCAAUGGGCGAAAGCCUGACGCAGCCAUACCGCGUGUGUGAAGAAGGCCUUCGGGUUGUAAAGCACUUUCAGUGGGGAGGAGAAGCUGGUGGCUAAUAUCCAUCGGCCGUGACGCUACCCACAGAAGAAGCACCGGCUAAUUCCGUGCCAGCAGCCGCCGUAAUAC
rnacentral:rRNA from 1 species